AUAUACAUCCUAUGUGAGUUUUUGAGCCUAUUGAAAGUGUGUGCAUUUUUCAUACACUCCUAUUCUUUUCAUGUGUGAUGAACUUAUGUGAGAUACAUCUCUAGAACUCGCGUAACGAUCUUUCGAAAUGUUUGUCAUUGAUUGCAUGAACUUGGAAAUGAUAGAGGCAUUAGGUUUACCACUAUGGCCCAAAUAACCAUGUUUCCCAAAUAAAAAUGAUAUCAUUAGAUUGACAAUUUGAGCCGUGUAUGUUGAACCUUUUAUUUCUUAUCACCAAAUAUGUCUACCCUUAUACCUGAAACAUUUUUCCUUACCCUUUCCAAGCGAGCAAUGCAAGAUUGUCUUAUGAGAAAUGUCUGUGAAGUACUUUGAAGGUGUUUUGACAAAAGAAUAAGUGUGGGGGUAUUUCAUGUUUGUAUUUAGUUAUGUGUUUGUAAAAAAUAAAAAAUAAAAAAAAAAGAAAGAUUGUAUACAAAGAAAAUAAAAAGUUUAAAGUUUCAGUUUAAGGGUGUGGUUGGAGGUGCUAGAAGAAUCGCUGGAAAGAUUGAGUUCUUAUAAAUCUAAACAAAAGAAUUGCUUGCAAUGUAGCUUGGAACUUGUGUUUACCUAUUCUUUCAUUUCAAUAACCCUCUCCCUAAACCUCAUUACAUCCAAUAAAAGUCCUCUUGAUUUAAGUUUUGCAAUUAUGACUGUGGAGAAGUGAUCUUUAUGCAAGCUUAUGGUAGAACUUUCACAUUUGAUUCUUUGAGCGAAACACAUUUAAACUAAACACAUGUGUGAUUGAGUGUAUAUCCCGUGAGAAGG
rnacentral:lncRNA from 1 species